rnacentral:rRNA from 1 species
UACAGAGGAGCCAAGCGUUGUCCGGAUUGACUGGGCGUAAAGCGCACGCAGGCGGAUGCGCGCGUGGGGUGUGAAAUCUGGCCGCUUAACGGCCAGGCGCCAUCCCAUACGGCGCGUCUGGAGUGAUGCAGAGGUCGAUGGAAUUGCCGGUGUAGUGGUGAAAUGCGUAGAGAUCGGCAGGAACACCCAGGGGGAAACCAGUCGACUGGGCAUCUACUGACGCUGAGGUGCGAGAGCGUGGGGAGCGAACCGGAUAGA